GGUUAAAAAGCUCGUAGUUGGAUUUCUGUCAAGGUGCGUCGGUCCGCUCUUCGAGUGUGUAUCUGAUUUGCACUUUGGCAUCCUCGUGGAGGGGUGUUGGUGAUUGAGUUCAUCGGUGCUUCUAUUCACGACUUUUACUUUGAGGAAAUUAGAGUGUUCACGGCAGGCUUUACGCCUAUUGAAUACAUUAGCAUGGAAUAAUAAUACAGGACUUUGGCCCUAUUUUGUUGGUUUCUAGAGCUAAGGUAAUGAUUAAUAGGGAUAAUUGGGGGCAUUCGUAUUAACGCGUCAGAGGUGGAAUUCUUGGAUUGCGUUACGACGAACUACUGCGAAAGCAUUUGCCAAGGAUGUUUUCAUUGAUCAAGAACGAAAGUUAGGGGAUCGAAGACGAUUAGGUACCGUCGUAGUCUAUACCAUAAACUAUGCCAAUUAGAGAUUGGAGGUCGUUUCUUUUAUGACUCCUUCAGCACCUUAUAAGAAAUCAAAAUUUUUGGGUUCCGGGGGGAGUAUGGUCGCAAGGCUGAAACU
rnacentral:rRNA from 1 species